ensembl:lncRNA
GGUCUCCUAUGUCUCAGAGAGGGAGCCAGACAGAAAGUCUUUACAGAGUCUCACCGGGAACCUCGGGCCGUCGGUGCCGCCACUGCCUCGCGCAAGCAGAUUCCAGGUGCCGGCAACUGGAUCUCGAGAAUGCACCGGAUGCGUCCCUCCCGCCUGCCAGAGCGCUAGGGGUGGUCUCAGGCCGCCACUGCUACCGACGGCUCCAGGAUCCUAUUGGAGGAGUGCCGUCCUGUCUUCCCUGGGAUUGGCUGGAGGAUUGGCCAGGAGUACGAUCGUCAUCGCUCUUUGCCAGUCGGUUCGACACAUCUUUGGGCGGUUGGUUGGGAGCACGCAGGCGCGAAGCCCAAAGUGAGGCCUGGCGCGAGUCACUGGAAAUCUGAGAUACGCAGCUUCUUGACGUUUUAUUCUCCGUAAACCACCGCUCCGCUAACCUGCAGGCAUUUCUGAGCCAGGUUUUUCUCGCUCAAAGUGAAAGUAGUUCCCAGUUUUAUCCCUGGAGGAUAAGGUGGUUAUAGGCGUCUGGCCAGUCAUCCACCAGCCCCCGCUGCUUGCUGAUUAAGACAUUGGUCAAGAGACAACCUCAUUCAGAGCCUCAGCUUAACCAUCUGUGAAAUGGGAAGAUAAUUUUUAAAAUCUUACCUGAAAAUGCCAUCCAUUCAAUAGGCGAUUCAAUGAGAGAACAUAAAUUAGUUGCCUGGAGCAUAAAUAAUUAAGGUCUCCCGUCCCAAUUCUUGCCUUUGCCAUUGUUUCAAAUUUAGGGAACUUUGGCUCACAGAGGCAAACUGAUUGACUUAAGGUCACACAGCAGUACGACCCAGAGUAAAACCCCCGGCUUCUGUCCUCCAGACGAAAAGGGUUUAAGAAGGAAGGAGAUACAGGAAGGCCCUUCCUAUUAUUAGGGUUUCUUAAUUUGGGUUCACAAACCUCACUCCAGUCCAGCUGGGACAGGGUUUAGAGU